rnacentral:rRNA from 1 species
CGCGUGAGUGACUGCGGAGGAUCAUUACUGAGGUUACCGGGGGUGAGAUUUAGAUGGUUUGCUGCUGGCGUCUUCGGGCGCAUGUGCACGGCUGUCUUGCUCGCCUUCGUUCCUUCCAUCAACCCCUGUGCACUAUAUUAGGAUUAGAGAGAAGCGCGUCGUUAAGGGAUUAACCUAGUAUUUGUGGGUCCUGCCCCGGAGAAAGGGUAAUCUCUGAUCUGCGGCGCGUGGUAUCCCGACGUCCUUCUUAAACACAAAUCACUACAUAUGUCAUGUCAGAAUGUAAGUCCUUUAAUGGACGCUAAAUGUUAUACAACUUUCAACAACGGAUCUCUUGGCUCUCGCAUCGAUGAAGAACGCAGCGAAAUGCGAUAAGUAAUGUGAAUUGCAGAAUUCAGUGAAUCAUCGAAUCUUUGAACGCACCUUGCGCCCCUUGGUAUUCCGAAGGGCACGCCUGUUUGAGUGUCAUGUUAACCUCAAUUCAACAGCUUUGCGGCUGGCAUGAAUUGGAUUUGGGAGUCUGCUGGCCUGUACUAGGUCGGCUCUCCUUGAAUGCAUGAGUGAGCAUCUGGCUCGCGUUGCUGAUGUGAUAGUCUUUCAUCGUUAGCAGCGCUUGCCUAAUGGGCUUGCUUUCGAACCGUCUUCUCAACGGAGACAACUUUUGACAUAUUUGACCUCAAAUCAGGUGGGACUACCCGCUGAACUUAAGCAUAUCAUAAAGCGGAGGAAAAACCGGUGGGC